ACAUGUGAGGACACAAUGAGAAGCCUGCAAGCCAAGGAGAGAGAUCUCACCAGAAACCAACCCUUACAGCACCUAAUCUUGGACUUUCAGCCUCCAGAACUGUGAGAAAAUUAAUUUCUGUUGUGUAAGCUACAUAGCCUGUGGUAUUUUGUUACUGUUUCGUUAUUGCAGCUCAGUCAGACUAAUACACCGAGACCCACUUCACCUGCUAACCAGUGGACCAAAUCAACUUCUAUCUACCCCAAGGAUUUCUGCGGUUUGUUGCUGAGCACAGCCUGAAGAUCCAUCUUCUCCUCUAUCUUCCUGCGGCAUCUCCUCCAGGAGACAACUCUCAGUCUGUGCUGCUGUGCUGCUUGUCUUUUCUUCCUUUUUUUUUUUUUUUAAUAUAUGGAAUCUCACUCUGUUAUUAGGCAGGAGUGAGGUGGCGCGAUCUCGGCUCACUGCAACCUCUGCCUCCCGGGUUCAAGCAAUUCUCCUGCCUCAGCCUCCUGAGUAGCUGGGACUGCAGGCGCAUGCUAUCACGCCCAGCUAAUUUUUGUAUUUUUAGUAGAGAUGGGGUUUCACCAUGUUGGCCAGGAUCGUCUUCAUCUCCUGACCUUGUGAUAUGCUCCCCUCGGCCUCCCAAAGUGCUGGGAUUACAGGCGUGAGCCACCGCGCCCGGCCCAUGCUGCUUUUCUGUCUUGUCCCAAACCAGAAGCCUUGUAAGUUUUCCAAGAUCACCAAGCUGGUCAAUGAUAGAGCUGGGGCUCAAACUCUAAUCUGUCUGACUCUAAACCUUGUGCUUUUAACCCCAGCACUACACUCAGGGUUUUCUGAGACUUUAAAGAUGAUCACAUCAAAUUAUCCAUCCAGCUAAAAAUUUUAUUUUAUUCCAAAUAUUUCCUACUAAAGGAAACCUGGGCUCCUUGGAGAAAUGGCAAACUCUUGGUCUCAGGGUGAAAAAUAUACAAGAAAACUUACAAAAGAACAUGGGUUUUGGUGUGAUUUUUUCCUUCACUGUGUUAAUGUGGUAUAUCACAUUAGUGGAUUUCAUAUGUUGAACUGUCCCUGCAUCUGAGGAAUAAAUCCCAGUUGGUCAUGGUGUAUGCUCCUUUUACCGUGCUGUUGAAUUUGUUUUUUUGCUAGCAUUUUGUUGAGGAUUUUUAUAUGUAUACUCAAAAGGAAUAUUGGCCUGUAAUUUU
rnacentral:lncRNA from 10 species